rnacentral:rRNA from 1 species
UACGGAGGGGGCCAGCGUUGCUCGGAAUUAUUGGGCGUAAAGGGCGCGUAGGCGGUCUGGUAAGUUUGAUGUGAAAUCCCAUGGCUCAACCAUGGAACUGCAUCUCAUACUGCCGGACUUGAGUCUGGGAGAGGGAAGUGGAAUUCCCGGUGUAGCGGUGAAAUGCGCAGAUAUCAGGUGGAACACCGUAGCGAAGGCGGCAUUCUGGGCCGAUACUGACGCUGAGGAGCGAAAGCGUGGGGAGCGAACAGG